GCGGGUAUCGUAUAAUGGCUAUUACCUCAGCCUUCCAAGCUGAUGACGCGGGUUCGAUUCCCGCUACCCGCUCCA
rnacentral:tRNA from 2 species